GACGAACCGUGCGAACGUUAUUCGGAAUCACUGGGCUUAAAGCGCGUGUAGGCGGGACGGCACGUCGGUCGCUGAAAGCCCCCGGCUCAACCGGGGAAGGGGCGCCGAUACGACCGACCUGGAGGGACGUAGGGGGACCUGGAACUUCCGGUGGAGCGGUGAAAUGCGUUGAGAUCGGAAGGAACGCCCGUGGCGAAAGCGAGGUCCUGGACGUUUACUGACGCUGAGACGCGAAAGCCAGGGGAGCGAACGGG
rnacentral:rRNA from 1 species